CUCUCUGAAAUCAACAAAGAUAUUUAAAACAAAACAAAAAGAACCAAAAUAAGAACAACAACAAAAAACCAGAUGUGGGUCACAACCAACCAGCUGAGGGAAUUCUUUUGAGGGAAUUACGGAGCCGUCAACUAGAGUGAAGGAAAAACAGACGCAGGGAAACCCAGCUACCCUGGGAAAUGGUUCUUGACUCCCUCCAGGGUUUUAUCCACGGGUAGCCUCUAAUGAUCCACCUCAGACCCAAACGAGCUAACGUUGCUCGCAUGGGUGGUCUCCCCGUUAUGGGGCCGGCCUCGGCGCCGCCGAGCGGAAGCCCGGCUGGAAGGGACCGGAACUAGCCUAAGAAGCUGCGCGCGGCCUCCGGGCCGGGCCUCCCUGCACCUUGGGAGCUGAGGCGGCGUUGCCUGCCUCUUACAUUGCGGAGACCGAGGCUCUGGCUGGUGGCUGACUCCCCGACAGGCGGCCAGAGGCUCGCGCUGCGCCGGGUACCGCUGUCGUCUCGGUGACUCCGCGGGACCCGGAACCCUUCUCCUCCGCAGUUGAAGCCUCAAGGCCGGUCCCCGCUUCUCGCCCACCCGCCCGGCCAUCCAGCCCGCGUGGAAGGAAAACAGCUCGAGAGGCCUCUGCACAGAUGCCAAAUAACUGUCCAGACCAGAUGGUCACCGAUCUCCUUGACUCAUCUCUGGGGGAUGAGACUUGUCUGCGACUGAGGCCUAGACCCUGAAAACCACUGCUACAGGUGCCAAAUGAGGUCCUGGAUCAGAAAAUUUCCCGAUUACCGCUUUGUUGGCCUGCACUGGGGAGUUCACCCCACCCAUUCCACCCACUCCCUUCACGCCUCUUCUGUCCCCAUCUUAUUAGCUUGAGCAAGAGGGAACUACUGGCUGAGAAACAGCUGGGGUCUUCUUAGCCCAUUUGCAUGGUUAAGAAGCAGAAAGCCCAAUUCAGCACAGAGGG